AGCCCCAUUUUAGUACCACGUCUUCUUUUCUCAGAAUAAGUGGCUAUGCUAAUGGGGUAGAGCAGCAGCUGCUAUUGUCUGAAGGGGAAUGUGUGUCGGUCACCUUCUCCAAUAUGAAAUAGCAGAACAUUCUUCU